rnacentral:rRNA from 1 species
GACGAACGCUGGCGGCGUGCUUAACACAUGCAAGUCGAACGGAAAGGCCCUGCUUUUGUGGGGUGCUCGAGUGGCGAACGGGUGAGUAACACGUGAGUAACCUGCCCUUGACUUUGGGAUAACUUCAGGAAACUGGGGCUAAUACCGGAUAGGAGCUCCUGCUGCAUGGUGGGGGUUGGAAAGUUUCGGCGGUUGGGGAUGGACUCGCGGCUUAUCAGCUUGUUGGUGGGGUAGUGGCUUACCAAGGCUUUGACGGGUAGCCGGGCUGAGAGGGUGACCGGCCACAUUGGGACUGAGAUACGGCCCAGACUCCUACGGGGGGCAGCAGUGGGGAAUAUUGCACAAUGGGCGGAAGCCUGAUGCAACCACGCCGCGUGCGGGAUGAAGGCCUUCGGGUUGUAAACCGCUUUCGCCUGUGACGAAGCGUGAGUGACGGUAAUGGGUAAAGAAGCAACGGCUAACUACGUG